AACGAGCUAUGGUUUGACUAGUUCGAUCGGCCGGUCCGGUUUUCAAACACUGAUCUUUAAAAAUAUUGGGCCUUCUGAUUAAAUCUUUCUUAUUUUGGGGUCCAUACCAUUAAUGGGCUUUAAGAAUAAUAUGAAAUGUCGACGAGAAUGGAAAAACUAUUUCCAUUGUUGUCACAGCAAUGAAAAAAAAGAAAAGGGUCAAAAAGCAAUGAUCUCAAGAAUGUUUCUUUCCUUGGUUAAUAAUUGACAUCCAUCCUCGUCUCUCCCAAUCCCCUCAAUCUCUAAGCUGCUUCUCCAUUCUCCAGUAUUCCGGAACCUGGAUUACCUUCAAAUCUCCGAAAAAAUUUGCAGCAAAAUGGUCAUAUUCCCAAGUUUUUAGAUGAUUUCCAUUCAGUAAGCACCAUGGAGGGAAUCAACAACACCGAUUCCAGAUCGAAGUUGAAUGCAAACAACAUAUGAGGUGCUAAACAUUGAAGAAUGUUGCUUUGGUUUGAUUUUGUUACUUGUGCAUGUUUGAUCCAAGGUUACCAACAUUGUUUUAUUUCUAAAUCCAGAGUCCUUGGUUUGAUGAAAACCAAACACCAUUAAUAUUACAGACGGCUUUUCCAUCAUCCCUGUGCCAUUGGAUGGUCAUGCGAAUCUGGUGGAUCUCCAUCUGUAAACCAGAAAAAAAUCAAUUCAUAGUUGCAAUAAAGAAGCACACAAUCCAAAAGUUCAACAUAGAAGAAGACCAUUGUUCAUGAUUUUACAAGUUAAGAGACUAGCUACACUCUGAGCAAAGUGUUUGUCAGCAUUUUUCCCUGAUAUUGUAGGUUUAUGUUUGUAAUGGCCUUCCAUAUUAUCAUCAGAGCACAGAAUUGAACGGUAAAUAAAAGAUUAUUCUGAGAUUGCAAACAAAA